UGUUAUACCGCAUAAUAUCUGUGGAUUAAAGGUGGCUUAGGCUGCCGCAGAUGGAUGAGCCUGCGUUGGAUUAGCUAGUUGGUGGGGUAAGGGCCUACCAAGGCUACGAUCCAUAGCUGAUUUGAGAGGAUGAUCAGCCACAUUGGGACUGAGACACGGCCCAAACUCCUACGGGAGGCAGCAGUGGGGAAUAUUGGACAAUGGGGGAAACCCUGAUCCAGCAAUGCCAUGUGUGUGAAGAAGGCUCUAGGGUUGUAAAGCACUUUAGUUGGGGAGGAAAGCCUAUGAGUUAAUAGCUUGUAGGAAGGACGUUACCCAAAGAAUAAGGACCGGCUAACUCCGUGCCAGCAGCCGCGGUAAUACGGGGGGUCCGAGCGUUAAUCGGAAUUACUGGGCGUAAAGGGUCUGUAGGUGGUUUGUUAAGUCAGAUGUGAAAGCCCAGGGCUCAACCUUGGAACUGCAUUUGAUACUGGCAAACUAGAGUAUGGUAGAGGAAUGGGGAAUUUCUGGUGUAGCGGUGAAAUGCGUAGAGAUCAGAAGGAACACCAAUGGCGAAGGCAACAUUCUGGACCAAUACUGACACUGAGGGACGAAAGCGUGGGGAUCAAACAGGAUUAGAUACCCUGGUAGUCCACGCUGUAAACGAUGAGUACUAGCUGUUGGAUUCGGUGUAAAGGAUCUAGUGGCGCAGCUAACGCGUUAAGUACUCCGCCUGGGGACUACGGCCGCAAGGCUAAAACUCAAAGGAAUUGACGGGGACCCGCACAAGCGGUGGAGCAUGUGGUUUAAUUCGAUGCAACGCGAAGAACCUUACCUGGUCUUGACAUCCUGCGAACUUUCUAGAGAUAGAUUGGUGCCUUCGGGAACGCAGUGACAGGUGCUGCACGGCUGUCGUCAGCUCGUGUUGUGAAAUGUUGGGUUAAGUCCCGCAACGAGCGCAACCCCUAUUGAUAGUUACCAUCAUUAAGUUGGGUACUCUAUUGAGACUGCCGCUGACAAGGCGGAGGAAGGUGGGGACGACGUCAAGUCAUCAUGGCCCUUACGACCAGGGCUACACACGUGCUACAAUGGGUAUUACAGAGGGCUGCGAAGUGCGAGC
rnacentral:rRNA from 1 species